AGAGUUUGAUCCUGGCUCAGGAUGAACGCUAGCGGGAGGCUUAACACAUGCAAGUCGAGGGGUAACAGGUUGGAAUUUCGGUUUCGAUGCUGACGACCGGCGAACGGGUGAGUAACGCGUAUGCAACCUGCCUUUUACAGGAGAAUAGCUUUCGGAAACGGAAAUUAAUACUCCAUAACGCUGCACUGUGGCAUCGCAGAGCAGUUAAAACUCAGGUGGUAAAAGAUGGGCAUGCGUAACAUUAGCUAGUUGGUAAGGUAACGGCUACCAAGGCAACGAUGUUUAGGGGACCUGAGAGGGUGAUCCCCCACACUGGUACUGAGACACGGACCAGACUCCUACGGGAGGCAGCAGUGAGGAAUAUUGGUCAAUGGGCGCAAGCCUGAACCAGCCAUCCCGCGUGCAGGAAGACGGCCCUAUGGGUUGUAAACUGCUUUUCUGACGGAAGAAUAAUCGCUACGUGUAGCGAGACGACGGUACUUCAGGAAUAAGCAUCGGCUAACUCCGUGCCAGCAGCCGCGGUAAUACGGAGGAUGCAAGCGUUAUCCGGAUUCAUUGGGUUUAAAGGGUGCGUAGGCGGAUUAAUAAGUCAGUGGUGAAAUCUCUCGGCUCAACCGGGAAACUGCCAUUGAUACUGUUAAUCUUGAGUUCGGUUGAGGUAGGCGGAAUGUGUAAUGUAGCGGUGAAAUGCUUAGAUAUUACACAGAACACCAAUUGCGUAGGCAGCUUACUAGACCGACACUGACGCUGAGGCACGAAAGCGUGGGGAGCGAACAAGAUUAGAUACCCUGGUAGUCCACGCCGUAAACUAUGAUUACUCGUUGUUGGCGAUACACAGUCAGCGACCAAGCGAAAGCGAUAAGUAAUCCACCUGGGGAGUACGCUCGCAAGAGUGAAACUCAAAGGAAUUGACGGGGGCCCGCACAAGCGGUGGAACAUGUGGUUUAAUUCGAUGAUACGCGAGGAACCUUACCUGGGCUUAAAUGUAGAGUGCAUAACUGGGAAACCAGUUUUUCCUUCGGGACUCUUUACAAGGUGCUGCAUGGUUGUCGUCAGCUCGUGCCGUGAGGUGUCGGGUUAAGUCCCAUAACGAGCGCAACCCUUAUCAUUAGUUGCCAUCGGGUCAUGCCGGGGACUCUAAUGAAACUGCCACCGUAAGGUGAGAGGAAGGUGGGGAUGACGUCAAAUCAGCACGGCCCUUAUGUCCAGGGCUACACACGUGUUACAAUGGUCGGUACAGAGGGCAGCUACCUGGUGACAGGAUGCCAAUCUCUAAAGCCGGUCCAAGUUCGGAUCGAAGUCUUCAACUCGACUUCGUGAAGCUGGAAUCGCUAGUAAUCGCAUAUCAGCCAUGAUGCGGUGAAUACGUUCCCGGGCCUUGUACGCACCGCCCGUCAAGCCAUGGAAGCUGGGGGUGCCUGAAGUACGUAACCGCAAGGAGCGUCCUAGGGUAAAACUAGUGACUGGGGCUAAGUCGUAACAAGGUA
rnacentral:rRNA from 1 species